AGCGCAGGCGGGAGAACAAGUUGGAAGUGAAAUCCAUGGGCUCAACCCAUGAACUGCUUUCAAAACUGUUUUUCUUGAGUAGUGCAGAGGUAGGCGGAAUUCCCGGUGUAGCGGUGGAAUGCGUAGAUAUCGGGAGGAACACCAGUGGCGAAGGCGGCCUACUGGGCACCAACUGACGCUGAGGCUCGAAAGUGUGGUAGCAAACA
rnacentral:rRNA from 1 species